GGCUAAAGCUGGAGCGGUGCUGUUUCAGGCUACGUUUGGAUCUGAGAGACAGGAAGAGGUGUGUCUAGCCCUGGGAGCACAGACGCAAGCAGUUCACCUGUGAGACUGGAUCCUGGGUCCACCCCUCCCUAACCUCAUGUAACAGCCGGUGCUGGAGGGGAAACAUCUCUGUUUGGAGCUUGUUUCCUUCUGGGAGUUUUCAGCCAGCCCUCACCUUCCAGACAGGAGUUCCUCAGGACCUCUGCUUCCUUCAGUUUCACAAGGGCCUUGGAGUAAGCACACAGACAGCAGAUGGACAGGCUGGAGCUCAGCCACGCUUUGACCCACAGCAGUGUCUCUGGGGACGGGAGACAACCUCUGCCAACCUGUGGGCCAGCCUUGCGUGUCCCUGCACCCCCCCCUCAAACCUGUGCAUGCCACAUGCAAGUCCUUCAGGUUGGCAUACCGAAGAUGUCCGGUAGCCAGAAGACCAGGACUCUGCCAGAAACCAGCAGAUCCAAGGCAACACGCACCCACCAGCACUGUGGGAGCAACAGCACAAACAGCCCAAGUGCUGACCCCCAAAGCAGGGAACAACCUCAUGGAUCAGAUGUGACCUGAUCCUAGUGCUCAGGAGGGCACCAGAGAUGCUGACCAGCCCUCUACGUCGCAUUCCCUGGCAGCAGAGCAGAAAGCAGAUGAUGUGUCAAAGCUGCCAGCACUUCUCAGGGCAUGAUGUGUGCCCAGGGCACAGGUGUCCCUCCCUUGUUAGGAUGGUGUUUCAGCCUCUGCUCAGGGCUUUCACCUGCAGCUGCACCGUGGGACAGCAAGAGGAGAGGCACGAGGCUGCCAGCAGCAGGCAGCUCCUUGCGGAUGGCAGCUCCCAACCUGA